rnacentral:lncRNA from 1 species
GGAAUUCAUUGUCAUAAAAUGAAAAUGCUGCUAGAACUGUCCAUAGAAGUGCCAUGAGACUGAAAAGAUUAGGAUAGUUGUUCCAGUGUCAUCUUAAGAAAGCUGCCAUCUGCUUCCAGUGAUACUGAAAUGUUACUGAGGGAAGGACACGCUGCUUUGUGUCCACCUGUUUCUCUUCUGGCAUUGUCUCACCUUUUUCAAGCUGUAGUUCUAUGAGAAGACAAAGAAAACAACUCAUACAACAGAAGUUGGACGUACCUGGUUGAGCUACUGGGGGAUAUUAUGAAGACUUCAGAGAUUAGAGAGGAGCAGAAAGGAUACCUACCCAGUGGUCUUGAUCACAAGCUGCUUGCUACUGUGCAGUUUGCUGUGCACUUACACACUGUUUUCAAGAUGAAUAUACUUCAGCAAAUCAGUGCCUUUGCAUUCUCCAGCGACUUUAUUCAGUUCUGAUGUUUCAGAGUAAAAUCCGUUAUUCAGAUGUCAAUCCUCUCUAUGGCAGAUUGUUUUAUGAAGUUUGUCUUUUUGGUUGGAGAAAAAAGUCUGGAUCUUAAAUAGAAGACAAUCUUCCAGGAUUAUUAUUAGCAGGGUGGGUACUUGAGAAAGAAAGAUCUUAUCCUUAAUAGCUAAAUGCAUGAUAUUGUACGUCAUCCCUAGAGUAAUAUGAUUAAACUCCAGUGAGGUAUCAGUUAUUCUUUUUGGAGCUUUGGAAACAGUUGUAACUUUCCAGGCAACACUUCCACUGUGUAUUGUUUAGCAUGAAUCUGCCAGAAUUUUAAACAGGCUUACCCUCACAUUCUGAUAUUAAAAUAUUCUAUAGCACCUACUUCACCAAGAAAUGCACUAAGGGUGUGGAAAAGUUUCAAUUUGUUUGCUCUAGGGACAGAAGGCCAAAUUAUGUAAGAGGAAGAGAAUUGCUGAUACCAAAGACUAACUAAAAAAAAAUAUAUCCAGAUAUUAACUUACUGUGUGACUUUGUAACAGCCAUAGUGAUGCAGAAAAUUAUGGUUGGAAAAUAAUAACUAUGUGCAGCUAAGUCAGAUGCAUCUAUUGCUCAUAUGUGCUGAAGUACCAGUACUGGGAGAAGGCAACAAGGAUCAAAGCCUGGAAUAAAAUUGUCCCUUGAAUUUGGAAGAAACUUACU